rnacentral:rRNA from 1 species
CAAUAGCGUAUAUUUAAGUUGUUGCAGUUAAAAAGCUCGUAGUUGGAUUUCGGGUGGGACGCAGCGGUCUCGCAUUGCGUUUGUACUGCUGCAGCCCUCCUUCUUGCCGGGGGCGGCCUCUCGGACUUCACUGUCUGGGGGUCAGAAUCGGCGAUGUUACUUUGAGUAAAUUAGAGUGUUCAAAGCAAGCUUACGCUCUGAAUAUAAUAGCAUGGGACAACACGACAGGACUCUGGCCUAUCGUGUUGGUCUAUAGGACCAGAGUAAUGAUUAAGAGGGACAGUCGGGGGCAUUCGUAUUCCGUUGUCAGAGGUGAAAUUCUUGGAUUUACGGAAGACGAACAUCUGCGAAAGCAUUUGCCAAGGAUGUUUUCAUUGA